GCUUCACUACUCAUAGGAGUGGUCAAGAGUAUUCCUAGGAACUUAACGCAAGAUUUGUUACUUUUAGUAUCGAGAUUUGUGUUCGUUUAAUGCUUCCUGAAGAGAUCUCGCUUGUUACUUGCCCUCCACCAGAUGAUGCAUAUGAUAAGUUUACAAGGCCUUCUAGUGUUCCUGAAGGAGCUUAUGUUCAGUGGGAAAUUGAGCUACUUGGCUUUGAAAUGCCUAAGGUGUAUACCAUCCAUUUAUUUGGAGAUCAUUACCAAAACAUCUGAAGGACUCCAAGUAAAUGUUUUGCUUGUCUCAGUAACUGUGGUUGAUGUAAUAAAAUACUGUGUAAAUUCUAGACAAUGAUUCCCAAAUAUGUUUUCCAAUCAAGCUAUAGAUAGUUUUUGU